rnacentral:rRNA from 1 species
GAUGAACGCUGGCGGCGUGCCUAAUACAUGCAAGUCGAGCGAACAGACGAGGAGCUUGCUCCUCUGACGUUAGCGGCGGACGGGUGAGUAACACGUGGAUAACCUACCUAUAAGACUGGGAUAACUUCGGGAAACCGGAGCUAAUACCGGAUAAUAUAUUGAACCGCAUGGUUCAAUAGUGAAAGACGGUUUUGCUGUCACUUAUAGAUGGAUCCGCGCCGCAUUAGCUAGUUGGUAAGGUAACGGCUUACCAAGGCAACGAUGCGUAGCCGACCUGAGAGGGUGAUCGGCCACACGGGAACUGAGACACGGUCCAGACUCCUACGGGAGGCAGCAGUAGGGAAUCUUCCGCGAUGGGCGAAAGCCUGACGGAGCAACGCCGCGUGAGUGAUGAAGGUCUUCGGAUCGUAAAACUCUGUUAUUAGGGAAGAACAAAUGUGUAAGUAACUAUGCACGUCUUGACGGUACCUAAUCAGAAAGCCACGGCUAACUACGUG